CUAAUACAUGCAAGUCGAACGAACUCUGGUAUUGAUUGGUGCUUGCAUCAUGAUUUACAUUUGAGUGAGUGGCGAACUGGUGAGUAACACGUGGGAAACCUGCCCAGAAGCGGGGGAUAACACCUGGAAACAGAUGCUAAUACCGCAUAACAACUUGGACCGCAUGGUCCGAGUUUGAAAGAUGGCUUCGGCUAUCACUUUUGGAUGGUCCCGCGGCGUAUUAGCUAGAUGGUGGGGUAACGGCUCACCAUGGCAAUGAUACGUAGCCGACCUGAGAGGGUAAUCGGCCACAUUGGGACUGAGACACGGCCCAAACUCCUACGGGAGGCAGCAGUAGGGAAUCUUCCACAAUGGACGAAAGUCUGAUGGAGCAACGCCGCGUGAGUGAAGAAGGGUUUCGGCUCGUAAAACUCUGUUGUUAAAGAAGAACAUAUCUGAGAGUAACUGUUCAGGUAUUGACGGUAUUUAACCAGAAAGCCACGGCUAACUACGUGCCAGCAGCCGCGGUAAUACGUAGGUGGCAAGCGUUGUCCGGAUUUAUUGGGCGUAAAGCGAGCGCAGGCGGUUUUUUAAGUCUGAUGUGAAAGCCUUCGGCUCAACCGAAGAAGUGCAUCGGAAACUGGGAAACUUGAGUGCAGAAGAGGACAGUGGAACUCCAUGUGUAGCGGUGAAAUGCGUAGAUAUAUGGAAGAACACCAGUGGCGAAGGCGGCUGUCUGGUCUGUAACUGACGCUGAGGCUCGAAAGUAUGGGUAGCAAACAGGAUUAGAUACCCUGGUAGUCCAUACCGUAAACGAUGAAUGCUAAGUGUUGGAGGGUUUCCGCCCUUCAGUGCUGCAGCUAACGCAUUAAGCAUUCCGCCUGGGGAGUACGGCCGCAAGGCUGAAACUCAAAGGAAUUGACGGGGGCCCGCACAAGCGGUGGAGCAUGUGGUUUAAUUCGAAGCUACGCGAAGAACCUUACCAGGUCUUGACAUACUAUGCAAAUCUAAGAGAUUAGACGUUCCCUUCGGGGACAUGGAUACAGGUGGUGCAUGGUUGUCGUCAGCUCGUGUCGUGAGAUGUUGGGUUAAGUCCCGCAACGAGCGCAACCCUUAUUAUCAGUUGCCAGCAUUAAGUUGGGCACUCUGGUGAGACUGCCGGUGACAAACCGGAGGAAGGUGGGGAUGACGUCAAAUCAUCAUGCCCCUUAUGACCUGGGCUACACACGUGCUACAAUGGAUGGUACAACGAGUUGCGAACUCGCGAGAGUAAGCUAAUCUCUUAAAGCCAUUCUCAGUUCGGAUUGUAGGCUGCAACUCGCCUACAUGAAGUCGGAAUCGCUAGUAAUCGCGGAUCAGCAUGCCGCGGUGAAUACGUUCCCGGGCCUUGUACACACCGCCCGUCACACCAUGAGAGUUUGUAACACCCAAAGUCGGUGGGGUAACCUUUUAGGAACCAGCCGCCUAAGGUGGA
rnacentral:rRNA from 1 species